UACGGAGGAUUCAAGCGUUAUCCGGAUUUAUUGGGUUUAAAGGGUGCGCAGGCGGCGUGUCAAGUCAGCGGUAAAAUGUCGGGGCUCAACCCCGGCCGGCCGUUGAAACUGGCGUGCUCGAGUUGGAGAGAAGUAUGCGGAAUUCGUGGUGUAGCGGUGAAAUGCAUAGAUAUCGCGCAGAACUCCGAUUGCGAAGGCAGCAUACCGGCGCUCAACUGACGCUCAUGCACGAAAGCGUGGGUAUCGAACAGG
rnacentral:rRNA from 1 species